GACGAACGCUGGCGGCGUGCCUAACACAUGCAAGUCGAACGGAAAGGCCCUGCUUUUGUGGGGCGCUCGAGUGGCGAACGGGUGAGUAACACGUGAGUAACCCGCCCCUGACUUUGGGAUAACUUCAGGAAACUGGGGCUAAUACCGGAUAGGAGCUCCUGCUGCAUGGUGGGGGUUGGAAAGUUUCGGCGGUUGGGGAUGGACUCGCGGCUUAUCAGCUUGUUGGUGGGGUAGGGGCUUACAAAGGUUUUGAAGGGUAGCCGGCCUGAGAGGGUUACCGGGCACAUUGGGACUGAGAUACGGCCCAGACUCCUACGGGAGGCAGCAGUGGGGAAUAUUGCACAAUGGGCGGAAGCCUGAUGCAGCAACGCCGCGUGCGGGAUGACGGCCUUCGGGUUGUAAACCGCUUUCGCCUGUGACGAAGCGUGAGUGACGGUAAUGGGUAAAGAAGCACCGGCUAACUACGUG
rnacentral:rRNA from 1 species